GUACAGAGUUUCUGUAUACUCUUUAUAUGCUUUAAUCUAGUUAUGAAAAUGAAGAAAUUAAUAUUAGUAUAAUAGUAUUAAUGAAAUGAUAGAUUUUAUUUGGAUUUUCCCAGUUGUUUCCCUAAUGUUCAUUUUCUGUGCCAGGAUCUAAUCCCGGAUCACACAUUGCAUAUAUUAAUAGUUGUUAUGUCUGCUAAGUCUUUUCCAGUGUGUACCAGUUGCUCAGUCUUUCCUUGUCUUUUAUGACCUUGAGAUACUGGUAAUUUACUCUACAGAUUGUCCAUCAGUUUUGGAUUGUCUGAUGUUGUCUCAUGAUGAGUUUGAGGAUAUACAUCUUGAGGGAGAAUACCAUACUGGGUGUGUGCCCUUUUCAGUACAUCAGCCUAGUAGUACAUGACAUUGAUAUACCUUUUCACUGGUGCUGCUCACCAUGACCACUUAGUUAAAGUCAUGUCUGCCAGGUUUCUCCAUGAUGAAGUUACCAUAUUUCCUCCUGUAACUAAUAAACUUGGGGUGGGAGGAGAGAUUUUGAGAUUAUACAGAUAUCUUGUUUCUCCUGAAAAUUUUGCCCACUAAUUCUAACAUUUAUCAGUGGAUCUUACCUUGCCUGCAAGUUAUUACUGUGGUGUUCUUAAUGGUGAUUUUCUAUUUCUUUCAUCCCAUAUACAUUCAUGAAUUAGAAUUCUUCUGUAAGGAGUAGCUGUUCCUUUUCCAUUUAUUUAAUUUUUCAGUCAUUUAUUUAUAUGAAUAUGGAUUCACUAAUAUUUGCAUAUAUAUGAUAAUAUGUAUAUAUGUAUAUAAAUAUACAUAGGUAUGUAUAUAUGUGUGUAUAUAUAUUUACCUUAGAAAUAGUCAUUUAAAUCACCCCAUUUCAACUACCCAUAUAUAACAAUUAUUUUCUUUUGCAAUUUACAUUCAUAUUCAUACAUUAGUCAAAUGUAUAUUUUAAAUGUUAUAUGAUCACUUAGCAUUAUAUCAUAGACAUUACAAAGGUAUUUAGAACCUCUUCUAAAAGGCUUCAGGAUAUGGUAUCAUAAGAGAGGACUUCCCAAUGAUCAUAUUAUAAAAACAUUCUCUCACUUAUUUUCUAAUUCUAUUAUGAUUUCAUUUUUAUAUUUAAAUAUUUGUUCACUCUGAGAUUUAUCUGGCGUAUGUUGUGAAGUAGGACUUCACUUUUAAUUUUUCUCAGAUGACUAAUGAUCUGUCUGUCCUAGCAUCAUGAAUUGAAUAAUCCAUUCCUUAUCCCCACUGAUUUGAAAUGCCACAUUUAUCAUUUUUUAUUUUCCAGAAUGUUUUCCAUUGUAUUUCUGGGCUAUGCAGAUGAUAUGUCUGUAACUUAUGUACCAGUAUUAUACUGUGUUAGUUAUUAGGUAGCUUUGUACUAUUUUUAGCAUCUGUUAGCCGUCUCCUUUUUCUCUCUUUUUUCCUUGGAAAUUUCCUGGGUUCAUUGAUAUUUAUUUUGGUCUUUAGACUAUAAUACAGUAUUACUGUUAUUUAUUUUGUUGCUCAAGUUGUUCUGGCUUAAUUUUGGAAGAGUAAUUCUCCCCAGUUGGCUCCUGUGCCCUUCAAUAUACCUCCAUCCUUGUCUUGUGACUACUUCCUUAGUUUCCGUCACCUCAAGAUACUUCAGGCUCAUCUUGUAUUUUCUCUGCCCCAGCCCUGAAAUUAACUGUUUCUCCAAGGAACCCUGGAUUAGAGAAGGAAAUUUAGGAACUAAGAUCUAUGCACUAGAUGUGCUCAUUGCUACAGGAGUGUCACUACUUCCUGGCCUACCAGAGAAAAUAUCUAGAAAAUAUAUGUAUGUAUGCUAGCUCAUGCAUACACACACAACUAUAUUUAUUCCUAGAUCUUUUUGUUUGUCCAUUUUAAACUGAAUUCAUACUGAUACCUCAGACCCCAAUCCAAUACCUCAGGGUUCAUUCUAGCCUUUUCUUUUCCUUAUAUCUAACUUUUUUCUCUGGCUAUGAGAAAUCUGGCUGACAUAAUCAACAACAUAGUUACUUGUUUGUUAUACAGUCAUGCACUGCAUAAAGAUGGUUCAAUCAAUGACAGACCACAUGGUAGUCCCAUAAGAUUAUAAUACCAUACUUUUGCUGUAUCUUUUCUAUGUUUCAAUAUAUAAUCCUUACCACUAUUUUACAAUUGCCUACAAUAUUCAGUAUAGUAAUAUGCAGUAAAAGUUUGUAGCUAGGGCAACAGGGUAUACCAUAUAGCCUAGGUGUGUAGUAGGCUAUACUAUCUAGCUUUGUGUAAGUACAAUCUAUGAUAGUCACACAAUGAUGAAAUUGCCUAAGGACACACUUCUCAGAAUAUAUCCCUGUCAUUAAUUGCAUUACUGUACAUGUAAUUUCAGAAUUGCUACUCCUUGCUUCUGCGAAAAACAAAUGUAUCAACUAAAAUACAGUGUUUGUGUUUAUGUACAGUUUUUUAAAAAUGUAACCUUAACAGUUUCCAGUCCAAACUUGUUUUCUAAAGUUGCUUAAGUCAACCCUUUUCUUUCCCACCCUCUUCAAUGAGGUUAUGUAGUUUGUAAUAGUUAGAUUAAUUUGUCACAAUCUGCAUUCCAACUUGGAUUCUUUCAGUAACCUGGUUGAUGUUUUAAAACUUAUAUAAAGUACAAUUUUCUCUUUGUGGGUGGUGUUAAGGGUUUUGACAAGUGCACAGGUACAUAUCCACCAUCACAGUUCCAUACAAAACAGUUCCAUCAUCCCCCAGUUCCCUUGUGCAGCCCUUUUGUAGUCACACUCUCUCCAUUCCCUUAUCUGUGGCAACCACUCAUCUGUUUUCUGUCCCUAUUGUUAUGGCAUUUCCAUAAUGUCAUAUAAAUGCAUAUGUAGCUUUUUGGAUCUGGCUUCUUUCACUUAGAAAAAUGCAUUUCAAAUUCAGCUAUGCUGGGAUUACAUGCAGGGGCCACCACACCCAGC
rnacentral:lncRNA from 1 species